AGGGCCAUAUCUCGUUGAAACGCCAGUUCCCGUACGAUCACCAACGUUAAGCAACGUCGAACCUGGUCAGUACCUAGAUGGGUGACCCUUGGGGAUGCCA